CCUACGGGUGGCAGCAGUGAGGAAUAUUGGUCAAUGGACGAGAGUCUGAACCAGCCAAGUAGCGUGAAGGAUGACUGCCCUAUGGGUUGUAAACUUCUUUUAUAUGGGAAUAAAAUGUUCCACGUGUGGGAUUUUGUAUGUACCAUAUGAAUAAGGAUCGGCUAACUCCGUGCCAGCAGCCGCGGUAAUACGGAGGAUCCGAGCGUUAUCCGGAUUUAUUGGGUUUAAAGGGAGCGUAGGUGGAUUGUUAAGUCAGUUGUGAAAGUUUGCGGCUCAACCGUAAAAUUGCAGUUGAAACUGGCAGUCUUGAGUACAGGAGAGGUGGGCGGAAUUCGUGGUGUAGCGGUGAAAUGCUUAGAUAUCACGAAGAACUCCGAUGGCGAAGGCAGUUCACUGGACUGCAACUGACACUGAGGCUCGAAAGUGUGGGUAUCAAACAGGAUUAGAUACCCCAGUAGUC
rnacentral:rRNA from 1 species